CUCGUCUCUCUCACACAAACCCUAGCCCCUCCUGCCCUCCACCAUCUAUGGCCUUAGACCGCCGCCGAAAAUUGCCUCACGGCAGCAGCCGGCUACCAAACGCCCUCAAAUUUACACCAUGGACUCCCACCACCCUCCCCAUUCCAAAUUCGUAACUAGCUUCCUUCGAAUUCCACCUAGUCUCCUCGAAUAACCCAAACCCUAGGCACCGCCUCCAAACCACCCCAAAUCAGUACCCUGAGAUCCCCUUUCCCCCCCUCUUGAUAAAUCUUAUACUGGUUCCCCUCAGACAUCCAAGAAAUCUCUCGAAUCUCGAAUUUAGUUUAACCCUAAAAUCCAAAAUUUUCAGUUGAAAUCUUCGUCAAGGUUUUGGUUGCGUUAUGAGGUUAUCUAUGUGUUUUGGUUAAAAGCACAUGAAUAGCCUCAGAUUGAAUCAGGACAUGACAUGCUAAAGAUCCUCGUUGAUUUCUGUACGAUUAUUUCGUUAGGUAUUUCCUCUAUCUCGUUUUCUUUGGUGUAAGUUUGUCUAUUCCUCCAUCUCUUCUUUGAUUCUAUUAAUUGUUUGAUCAGCUAUGUUCCUGCAAGGAGUCAACUAGCUUUGGACUAAUUUAGGACUUUGUUUUGGCUUGAUUAACUAUUCUUCAUGAUUAAUUGAUUUAAAUUUGUUUAGGAUUUUAAUUGAUUCUGUUUUCGUUUUAGUUUUUGGUUUAAUUUUGUUCUGUUUUGAUUUUUUCUAGUUUUAUUUUGUGUUUUGUUUUGAUUAAAUAAUCCAUGAUUGCUGCUGAUAAUUUGAUUUUAGUUUGAAUUUCCAUUAAUUGUCAGUUUACUAAUUGUUAGUUUUAAUUUCAUGAUUAGUUGAAUUGUUUAAUUAGUUUAAAUUUUAGUAUCUGUUUGGUUAUAGCUAAAUAGGCUAGAUUUUUGUUUAACCAUGGUUAAUUCUUGACCAGGUUAUCAGAGUAAAAGGGGUUGGUUUUAGUUUGUUAACUUUCAGAAGUAAAAAAGGGUAGUCUUGUAUUUCAGAAUCAGGGAAUCUUUAGUAACUGAAAUUAGAAGCCACUAGAAGCACCUUGAAGGGGUUCUAAUUGGAAUUUCAGAUUCAUAGCGGUGUGACUUGGGUAGCAAGUUAAUAAAUAAGGGACUUCUAAGCUAAAAGCAAGAGUUAAAAAAGGGACUAAAGUGCAAAACAAAACCUACAGGGCUGCCCUAAUACUUUGCCUACAAAGGCAUCCUAACUUGAAUCUCAAGGGAGAUUUUGAAUAAGGAUUGCAUAGCUAAAAGUCCAGCAAAAUACACAAAAAGGGUUUAGGAGCCUAAAAAUAGAGAGAAAUUUGAGGCGGCUGUCAUUUUUAAGCACUGUUCCAUUGAGAUUUAAUUUUGAACUUUGGAGUCUUUUGAAUGGCUGAAGCAAAUAUAAAUUUACAUAGAUUUCAAAAAGGUUUGAGGUUGAGUUUUUUGAAAUUUCUGGGCUAAGCUGUUUUGAAAUAACUAUUCCAUUGGUUUCAUACCUUGAGAAUUCAACCUCUUGGACCUGGGAUAGAUCUGCUGCUAUUACUACUGCUUUCCUCAGCCUUUCCUUUGUUUUAUCCAGGUAUUUCCUUGGCUCAUGGUUGAGGUUUGAUUGUUGAGCAUGAAAGAAUAGAAGUUUUGUUAAAUGAAGACCUUAUUUGAAGCUGAAUUUCUCCUCCCUGUUACCGUUUUAUGUUCUGUAAUAAGAGUUUAAGUUAUAAAUGUUAAUCAAAGCCUCUUAUUCCUUUGAAAUAUAGUGUGUUAGAAUGAUUUAGUGUCGUACUUUGCAUUCUGUGCAUAAUUGAACAUUGGACUUUAAUUGUUUGAGUGUAUGUUGGCUGCCGCAUCAGGUUGUUAAUCUUUGUGAACGUCUGAGAAUCACUUAGAUUUGGUCUUGGACUUCAUAGUCGAUACUCUAGGGCAAUCUGCCUUGAAAUUGGUUUACGUUUUUUGCUGCAAUUAGUUGAUAUUUUCAUAUGAUUUGUGUUUAAUUAGCUAAAAAUAGAAAUUCCAACUGUUAUAGCAUGAAGUCCUGCCUGUUUAAGAUUCAGGACUGCAGAUGUGACUUUAACAUGAUUUGGGAUGAUUUGGAUAGUUGUUGAUUAUAUUAACUAGCUAAUCCUACAUAUGGGCCAUCGUAUAUUAGCUUGAGACAUUAAAUGUGUAUUAAUUGAAGAAUAUUUUCCCUCAACUUUACUGUGAAACUGUUUGGAUUUGGGCGUGAUUCUCUGCAUAUCAUGCGUUUAAAUUUGCCUAUUCAUGCUUAAGUUCUUUAAUGUUCAAAAGGCUGUGAAUGGACUUAGAGAUUGCAAUUAGAUCUUGGUUGGUAUUCUCUAGAAUUGUAUUGUGCAUAUUUUAAAUUCAAAUGAUGAAUGACUUGUGCCCAGAAUUUCACCAGCAUGAUCAUAUAUUUUAUUGGGUCCAACUCGCAUAUUUGAAUAGUCAGCCAUCGGUUGGCUUCAAGAGCUUGGCAUUGGGCAUAGUUUCCAUGCCUCAUGUUGGGCCUAUGGCAUUUAAUUUGAAAUAUUCAUUUUGUCGUUUAUUUGAGGUGAGGGUAAGUCGUACUAGGUAGUAUAAAAUAAUUAUGGCCCUUGUGUUGAUUAAGAUAUACAAAUAUGAUGAGAAUUCAUAGCAAGCCUUUAGGGCCGUUGAAAUAUGAUUGUAGUUGCGUAUACGUUCGCGUAAUAUGACCAUAAUCCUAAAAUUAAUUUGGAGUAUGCGUUCGCAUAACUUCGAUCAUAUCAUUUCUCAAUAAUAAACCGGGUUACAAGCUUUUAAUAUUUUUUAGUUUAGAUAGUUCAUUAGGGGACUCAACACAGGGGAAAGGUUGAGUCCGUCUAGGACAGGUGUACCCAAAAUAACAGACCAUCAUGAUGCAUCCAAUGUGCUAUGUUAACAUUUAUUUCGGCUUGCAUGCUUACUGGCUAAAUAAGAAAAGAAAAGUGAGGAAAAAUGAAAAGAAAACAAGAAAAAGAAAAAAAAGAGAGGGAGAAGACCAAGAGUGAUGUAGGAAAAAAAACCAAUGCGUGAAAAUACCUCGAAACUGUGCCGAUUUUUUUUAGAAAAAUUAAAAAAAAGGGAAGAAAAGGGAAAAGUGUUUUGGUCGCCAAUAAAAAGAAAAACAAGUUUUGUUUUCAAGAAUAGCCAAUAAAGAGUUUUGUUUUCAAAAAUAGCUUGUUCUAGUUGCCGAUGAAAAAGAGAGUUUUGGUUUCAAAAAUAGUUUGUUUUAUUUGCCAAUGAAAAGAAAAAGAGUCUUGUGUUCAAAAUUAGUUUUUUAUUCGCCUAUGAAUUGAAAAAAAGGAAAAAAUGUCUUGUUUCAAAAGUACUUGCGGCCAAUUAAGAAAGAAGAGGGAGGAAGAAUCAAAGAAAAAAAAAGAAGAGGGGAAAAAGAGAGAGGAAAAGACCAAGAGUGAUGUAGGAAAGGAGUAAACCCGAUUCUAAAGAAACCUAAUGCUUGAAAAUACCCCGAAACUCUGCCAAAUUCUUUUACCAAAAAUAAUCAUUUCAAAAUCAAAUUGACUGAACUACAAGGUUUUGAUUCCCAUCGAAUAUGGGAUACGUAGGCAACCUACAUAAGGUCCGGCCUUAUUUGAAAAAUAGAGAGAAAAAAAAGGAGAGAGAAAUAAUCCGAUUCAGUGUCGGUAGUGUUUUAAACCGUUCUUACCGAGAUAACCUUAGAAUAUUCUCCCGUUAUCGAAGGGCUAUAUUCGUAAAAGAAUAGACAAAGUUGAGAAGUGUCACAAAAUAAGCUUAUCCGGCCUGAAAAUUCAUAUGAAAAUGGGAAUGGGCCAUAUUUGCAAAGAAGCCAUUUGCCUAAAAUUGGCAUGUCAAGGACGGAAUCAUGGUUUUUGUUUUAAAAUUAGAAACCUUUUUUCAAAAAAGGGUCAUUAGAGUCAAUCCUAACCCUACCGUUUUACAGAAACAAAUGAAUAUUAUCCAGGAUCCACCAAAAGUGAUCAGGGAGUAUGCUCGAGUAUAUUUGUGCAUGUGGUGGAAUGAUUUGGAUCAAUAUGGUUAGAAAUGGGUAAGACAACAGUUGGGCGCUCUUAUAUACAUUUGGGAGAUCAAACCACAGGACGAUUUGAUCAAGGCUAUGAUAAUUUUCUGCGACCCCGCUCAUAAUAUUUUUCGCUUAUCAAACUUUGAGAUUACCCCUACUUUGGAGGAGAUAACCGAAUACAUUGUGUUUGGACAAGAUCUGAGGAAGAAAUAGCUUAUAUUUCCAAGGGCUCCGUCGAUGCACAAGUUUUUUGACCUCCUGAAUAUCAGCAAAUCUGACAAGUAAAAACCACGUAAGCAACAAGUGUUGUGAUUUCCAUUUCUUGUACUUCAGGUUUGGGCACUAUGCUGGUUUUGAAGCACAUGAAAAGGGGUUGAGCAAUAAACAAGAUAAGAUUCUUUUGAAACUUCAUCGCCGGUUCACAUUUAUUGUGGCAUUCUUGGGGAUAAUGGUUUUUCCAAAUGAGAAAGGGACAUUGGAUAUUCCUAAGGCUAAAAUUGCACAAAUCCUCACCACCAUGAAAAAUCAUACACUUGCCCCAUUGGUACUGGCGGAUAUCUAUCGUGCGUUGACUUUAUGCAAAGAUGGGGCCUAGUUCUUCGAAGGUUGCAAUAUCCUACUACAAAUGUGGAUGAUCGAGCAUCUUCGCCACCAUCCCAGAUUCAUGAGUUAUGGCUCGAGCCCAAAUAAUUUUAUCACCAGUUAUGAAAAGAGGGUAAAGGAUUACAAUGUGCUGGAAGGAUUUGAAGCAUGUGUGUCUCAUUUGAAAGCUCUCAAAGCAAGUCAAAUUGAGUGGUCCACAGGAUGGCUCCCGAAGACAUAAGCCAUAUACAUAACUGCUGCUAAAGGCUACUUGAGGAUAAUGGGUGUGAAAAGUAUUCAAUUGUAUGCACCAUAGAGGGUCUUGAGAUAAUCAAGACAGUAUCAGAUUGUGCCGAAGAUGAAGAUCUAAGUACUCAAGUCAUAGAGUUGCAUCCAGAAGCCACAUUUCUUGAAGCUUUAGUUCAAUAGGAUUGGAAUGGCUGCCGGUAUCUUAAAAAUGGCACCCAGGUACCAGAUGUCGCAAAGGGAGAAGUGAAUCCAAACUAUGCUGCUUGGUUUGAGAAGAGGUCCUGUGUGAAGAACGAGCUAGAACCUGAACCUGAGAGGCUUGCCAAAAGACCUCAUGUGCAAGCUUUUGACAACAAAAUCCAAGAAAGAUUAGCAUGGGGAAAAAAGGAAAAAGCGUAUCAAGCUGAGAUUCAUGCCUUAUAAGAAAAUCUAAGAAAGACGAAUUUCAACAAUGAUCUCCAGGAUCAGGAAGCCGAAGGUGAGAAAAGAAGAUUGAUCCAAGAAAAUAAAGCUCUCAAAGCACAGAUCCGGAAAAUGAAAAUAGCAAUUGAUAACCCAGGCAGGAGUAGAAAAGAUGAGAAGCUCAUCUACAAUCUUACCCAGAAGGCACGUGAUUUCGAGGAUGAUUUACAGAAGACUGAAAAGGAGUUAGCAAACGCUCGAGCCCAGAUCCAAGGAUGCAGGGAAACGAGCUCAUCUACAAUUUUGAAGCCGAAAGGGAGCACUGUUAUUCUUUGAUAGCACGGUUGGAAAGGGAUUUGCAAUAAUUUAAUAAAUAGAGCCAUGCGACUAAACAAAAUUUGGAAGCUAGAACUCGGCAAAUUGGAGAUUUAUUACGGGAGAAGGGUAAGAUCCGUGAAAGGGUCACAACGAUUGCAUAGUACAUUGUGGUAAAUGCCAAAUAUGUGAAGACAUGACCCAGACCACUUUCUUUGCGGCAAUCAUGACGUUUGUCCAGCAGGUAAUGAGAGAUUUGGAAAGGGUUCAUGUGGAUGUUGCAGACGAGCCCGCAGCAAAGCCAAAUAGCACCCCGAGAGCUCCAGGAGUUUUCAAGGCUUUAAUGUUAAUGCGAUCUUUAUUUGAGUCGGUAUUUUCGUGUUGAGUCUGUUAAGUUGUUUUGGAGUCUAUUAGAUUUUUUGAAUUGAGUUUUUUUAUGUGUGUUAGUUUAUUUCGAGUCUGUGAGUCUUGAGUCCUUGUAGUAAAAGUGUUUGUUUUUAUGAAAAACUCAAAAAUCCCAAAAAUAUUUUGUUAUUUAUUUCUUUUCAUAUCUCCAAGAACUACGCUUGGUCUGAUUCAUGCGGGGUCAUGAUACGUAGGCAAUAUCCAUAAGAUUCGGCCGUAACCAAAUAAAUAAAAGAGAGAGGAGAAAAAGAAAAAAAAGAGAAAAAAAAGAGGGAAAAGAAAAACAAAAGUAAGGAAAAUAAGAAAUCAAAAAGGAGAUAAUGGAAAAACAAAGAGGGAAUGAGAAAUAAAAGAAAAAAAAAGAAGAAAGAAAAAAGAAGAAGACUUGGAAACAUAGAAAAGGCCGGGAUGACGCAUGCAACGGAUCAAAUGCAUAAUAGAGACGAUUAACUAUUUAGGUGCAUUCAUGCCAAUGUUUGGUUACCAAUCUGUUAAAACAUAAUCGCUAGCAAGGUUGUUGUUUGAUGUAUUGAGUCCAGGCAUGUGGUCAGUUGUUCUGGAAUUCUAGCAACCCAUUCCUACAAUACACGGUCAAAAGGCAGAUUGAAUAUGACUAAUGAAGAGUUGGAAGCAAGUAUUGUCGACCCAUCAAAAGAGGUGGAGGAAGUUGAUGUUUGUGCAAUGGAAGAGGAGAUUUAUAAGCUGAAGCAACAGAUGGCUGAAAUGUAUCAAGCCUGGGUAAAGGGGCAUCCACCACCGAUUUAUCUUGCCAACCCUGCUUAUAUCCCAUCGUUGGCUCAACCUCAAGAUCCCCCAUGUGUGAAUUCAUCAACGGCCUUUCCUACCUACCAACAAUGCUAUGACACGACCUCCCAAACACCACCAGCCCCACCACCAAAACCCAUCCCGUACCCUCCCCCAUCAAUCACUCCUUUAGUUGUGGAAGCUCCACCUGUUGCAUUGUACCGAUCUUCUGGUGAGCCUUUGUUCCAGACUCAGGACAACCAUUAUUAUCCCCCAAAACCAACUUUCAAAGAACUAGAACCAUGUCCUUACCCUCUUCAUUUUGACCUCUCGGCAGAAAUUGAGAAGCCUCCUAAGAAUUCUGAACAGGAAGAGAUGGUCAGGAAAGUCAAGAGCUUAGAGCAAUCUUUCAAGAAUAUGCAAGGGCUAAGUGGGAAAGUAAGUGUGGCCUAUAAAGAUCUGUGUAUGUUCCCAGAUGUCCAGUUACCAUCAUGGUUCAAGUUGCCCAAAUUUGAUUUAUAUGACUGGCAUGGUGAUCCCGUGGCACAUCUAAGAGGUUUCUGCAGUAAGAUGAGGGGGGCAGGUAGAAGAGAUGAAUUAUUGAUGGCGUACUUCAGUUAACGUUUAAGUGGCUCGGCUUUGGAAUGGUACACCCGACAAGAUCAUGGUCAGCGGUACACUUAGGACGAUCUGGCUCAAGCGUUUGCAUGUCAUUUUCGGUACAAUCUUGAAAUUUUAUCAGACCGUCUGUCACUGAUAAAAAUUGAGAAAAAGCCCGAGGAAUGCUUCAAGGAAUAUGAUUUCUGCUGGAGAGAGCAAGCGGGAAGGGUUGACCCGCCAAUGAAAGAAAGCGAAAUGGUUGAUUAUUUCUUGCAGGCUUUGGAGCCCACUUACUUAGGUCACUUGGUGUCAGCAGUGGGGAAAUAUUUUAACGAAGUGGUGAAAAUGGGAAGUAUGGUGGAAGAGGGACUUAAAUCCAACAAAAUCAUGAGCUAUUCGGCAAUCAAGGCAACCACUCAGGUUAUUCAAAGCAGCACUGGGGGUGUACUAGGAAAGAAGAAAAAAGAGGAUGUUGCAGUAGUUGACUAAGUCCAUGAUCCAGGGGCCCGUCACCAUAUUACAACCUACCUCGACCCCGUCCCCAAACUUACUCCCACCCUCCAUACAGCCCACCACAACACUAUUACCCACCUCUUGAUCCCCACUUCUCUAUCCAUCAUACCCAAACAUACUCCCAAUCUCAUACCUACGCGCAAUGGCGCGCCAACCCCACAAAAUACCUACCCACAUCCCCAAAGAACUUACCCACCUCCAAGAACCUACAGAAAUCCCCCCGGAGCAGGUUUCCAACUAACCAAACCUUCAAGUAAGAGAACACGCAAAAACAAAAAACUUUCACCCCUUUGGGAGAGUCGUAUACCAGUAUAUUCACGGGCUAAAGCAGUUGCGAAUAUUGAGUCCAGUUGAGCCUAAGUUGCCAAAUCCUCUUCCAAAAAAUCUUGAUCACUCGUUGAGUUGCGAGUAUUGCUCAAGGGCUCCGGGGCAUGACAUAGAGAAGUGCUGGAAACUGAAAACAACUAUCCAGGAGCUCAUUGAUACCCGCCGCAUUAAGGUGCAAACCCUGGAGACGCCUAAUAAUAAUCAGAACCCGCUGCCAACCCAUCACGAGACCCAUAUGAUUGAGCUGGUGCAAAAGGGAAGAGAGCAUAAGAAGCCUUCAUAAACUGUAAUGAUGAUCAAGUCUAGUGAGGACAGGCCGAGUGAGAAGCGAGAUAGUGGGAAAACAUCGCUCAGGGUGAGAAAGACAUGUAGUAAACCAGUUGUGGUGGUCCAGAAUGAGUCUUCAAGCAUUGUUGUAGUGAAACAAGAAAAAGCCAAAGCGGUAGUGCCGGGGGUAGCUACCAAGCCUGUUGUGAUCGUGGAGGGUGCUCAUAUAGAUCCAGUUAUUAUCAAGCCAGCUACCAUUAACAAGUGGUAAGUUCGUUUCGUGGAAUACGACCAAGUGAUAGUGAUGUAUAAAGGGAAGGAAAUUAAAGAAGAAGUUUGUGAAACCCAUGGUCUGACACGCUCGGGGAGGUGCUUUGCCCCUGAUGAGUUAAGAAAAGCCAGAAUCCCCAAAAGUAACCCGGUAUUGGUAAAGAAAGUCGUAAUUGAGGAGGAAGCGGAAUAAUUCUUGAAAAAGAUAAAAGUGCAGGACUACUCCAUUGUAGAACAAUUAAGGAAGACACCGGCUCAGAUCUCAUUGCUCUCAUUGCUGAUCCACUCAGAUGAGCAUCGCCGGACGCUGAUGAAAUAUUAAAUGAGGCCCAUGUCCCUGACAAGAUCUCGAUUAAUCACUUGGAGAAGAUAGAAAAUAAAAUCUUUGAGGUGAACAAGGUUACUUUCUUCGAUGAUGAGUUGGCUAUGGAGGGCACAAAAAAUAACAUGGCCCUUUAUCUGAGAGUGAGGUGCGAAGACUCUGUAGUCACUCGAGUUCUGGUUGACAAUGGGUCUAGUGCAAAUAUAUGUCCUCUUUCCACGUUGAACAAGCCGAAGGUUGAUGAUGAUAGAAUUCAUAAGAACAAUGUCUGUGUGCGGGGGUUCGAUGGCGGAGGCAAAGAUUAGGUGGGUAACAUAAUACUAGAAUUGAUGAUAGGGCUCGUAGAGUUCACCAUGGAAUUUCAAGUACUGGAUGUGGAGGUUUCUUAUAACCUUUUGCUGGGGCGACCUUGGAUCCAUACCACCAAGGCGGUGCCAUCUACAUUGCAUCAAAUGGUUAAAUUUGAGUGGGAUAUACAGGAGCUUGUGGUGCACGGGGAAGAUAAUAUGUGUACCUUGGGGGAUGCCAGUGUGCCAUUCGUAAAAGUUGACGACGACAAAGGGUUAUUGGUCUAUCAAGUCUUUGACACGGUGCCAGUGGAAAAGGUCCCAGAGGGUAAGAGCAUCUCAGCUCCUAGAAUAAUAGCUGUGACUGUCAUGCUGGCCUCAAAAAUGUUAAAGAAUGGGUUCAUACCGGGUAAAGGUUUAGGUGCUGCCCUUCAAGGCAUUGUGCAACCAGUUUCUCUUCCUAAGAACCUGGAUACUUUUGGGUUGGGCUUCACGCCCAUAGCUGCAGAAAUAAGAUGAGCCCAAAAAAUGAAAAAAAAGGGCAUGGGCCCUUCCCAAGCCAAUCCCGCUUCUGUCCAGAUCUUUCGUCAGGCCCGGUAUUGGAAAGCAACUAUUGGCGAAGGUUCUCAGAUCAUUGAUUGGUGCCGAUGGAGAUUUGGACAAGGGAUUGGAAAUAUUAUUCACCGAGGCUAACAUGGUUGAGGCCGGUGAAGGGUCAAGCAAGAAAGACUUAGAGUUCAUCGGACCACGUGCAAAAAUCAACAACUAGGAAGCUACUCCUCUUCCUACCCGGAAGGAGCCUUGGUAGUGGUUUUUGAUUUUAUUUUGUUGUCUGGAUUAUUCCUGGGUAUGUAAUACAGAUAUUAUGUUCCGUCCAGUUGGAUGUGUUAAAACCCUGUUACCUUCAUAUUCAAUGAAAUGCAAUUGUCUUUUCUUUCUUCAUUCCUAAUCUUCUUUCUGUUUUCUUUUCUUUUCUGUACAGUUCUUUUUAUGCUGAUACCAAAUACAUGACAUGCAUGAGGAAUCUUCGGUCCAGUUUUAAAAGCCAAUCUAACUCAAAAAUAAUAAUACAAGAAAUUGAGUGUGAUGAUGAGUUGGAAUAUGAUGAUGAUGAGGCCUAUGAAGAAAUUAGUAAGGAAUUAAGCGACUUCGAGGAAAAACCCAAACCUAACCUAAAUGACACAUAAGCAAUGAAUCUAGAGGACCAAUAUAAUGUCCAUGAAACUAAAAUAAGUGUUCACUUGGAACCACAACCCCAAGAGAAAAUAAUCAAAGCCAUGUUCGAAUACACGGAUAUUUUUGCAUGGUCAUAUGAUAAUAUGCUAGGUUUUAGCACUGAUUUAGUGGUUCACAAAUUACCCACUGAUCCAACACUCCCUUCUAUCAAGCAGAAGCUGGGAAAGUUCAAUGCAGAAAUUAGUAAGGAAUUAAGCCACUUUGAGGAAAAAUCCAAACCUAACCUAAAUGACACUGAUGCAAUUAAUCUAGGGGACCAAGAUAAUGUCAUUGAAACUAAAAUAAGUAUUCACCUAGAACCACCACUCAGGUAGGAGAUAAUCAAAGCACUGUUCGAAUACAAAGAUAGUUUUGCAUCGUCGUAUGAUGACAUUCUAGGUCUGAGCACUGAUUUGGUGGUUCACAAAUUGCCUACUGACCCGGCAUUCCCUCAUGUCAAACAGAAGAUGAGAAACUUCAAAACGGAUAUGAGUGUAAAGAUCAAAGAAGAGGACACCAAGCAGUUUGAUGCGAAAGUCAUUCGGGUCACGCGGUAUCCUACUUGGUUAGUCAAUGUUGUGCCUGUGCCGAAGAAGGAUGGCAAGACCAUGGUGUGUGUUGACUAUCAGUCUCUCAAUAAGGCAUGUCCAAAAGACAAUUUCCCACUGCCAAACAUCCACGUAUUGUAUGAUAAUUGUGCCAAACAUGAGAUUGGUUCUUUCGUGAAUUGUUACGCGGGGUAUCGCCAGAUUCUAAUGUAUGAGGAAGAUGUAGAAAAAAUGACAUUCAUCACACCAUGAGGAACGUACUACUAUUGGGUCAUGCCGUUUCGUUUGAAAAAUGCUGGGGCAACUUAUAUAAGGGCAAUGAUGACAAUAUACCAUGAUAUUAUACAUAAGGAAAUCGAGGUGUACGUGGAUGAUGUGAUCGUAAAGUCUGGAAAAUAGUCCGACCAUGUCAACGAUCUGAGGAAGUUCUUCCAAAGGAGUUGCAAGUACCAUCUCAAGCUCAAUCCUGCAAAGUGCGCUUUUAGGGUACCAUUUGGAACGUUGUUGAGAUUCAUAGUCACCUGCCGGGGUAUUGAAAUGGACCCGUCAAAAAUCAAGGCCAUCCACGAACUUCCACCUCCGAGGAACAAGACUGACGUGAUGAGUUUGUUGGGGAGAUUUAAUUAUAUCAGCCGGUUCAUUGCUCAGCUCAAGAAAACCUAUGAACCGAUCUUCAAAUUGUUAAAAAAAGAUGUUGCAGUCAAGUGGACAGAUGAAUGUCAGGAGGCAUUUGAUAAGAUAAAGGGAUAUUUGUCGAAUCCAUCCGUGUUGGUCCCACUCGAACAAGGGUGGCCUUUAAUUCCAUAUUUGAUAGUUUUGGAGAAUUCAUUCGGCUGCGUACUGGGGCAACAUGAUAUUACUUGAAAAAAGGAGAAGGCUAUUUAUUAUCUUAGCAAGAAAUUCACAUCUUACGAGGUUAAGUAUACUCAUCUGGAGAUGACAUGUUGCGCCCUAACUUGGGUCGCACAAAAGUUGAAGCAUUAUUUGUCAUCUUAUACUACUUACCUCAUAUCUCGCCUGGAUCCAUUAAAAUACAUCUUUCAGAAGCCUAUGGCCACAGGGAGGCUUGCAAAGUGGUAGAUCCUGCUUACAGAGUUUGACAUUGUCUACGUGACUCAAACUGCAAAGCACAGGCCUUGGCGGAUCAUUUGGCCGAGAAUCCAGUUGAUGGGGAUUAUAAACCUUUGAAGACCUAUUUCCCUGACGAAGAGGUGAUACAUAUUGAUGAGUUGGAACAAGUUGAGAAGCCGGGGUGGAAACUUUUCUUUGAUAGGGCCGCCAACAUGAAGGGCGUGGCGAUAUGAACUGUGCUUAUUUCUGAAAUAGGGCAGUACUACCUUGUUACAGCUCAUCUUCAUUUCUUUUGUACUAAUAGUAUGGCCGAGAAUAAGGAAUGUAUCUUUGAUUUGAGGUUAGCUGUAGAUAUGGGUGUCCAGGAAGUCUUGGUCAUGGGUGACUUGGACCUACUGGUACACCAAAUUCAAAGAGAAUGGGAAACACAUGAGUUGAAGAUUAUACCGUAUCGACAAUGUUUGCAUGAUCUGUGUCAACGGUUUCAAUCAAUAAAAUUCAAGCACUUCCCAAGGAUUCAUAAUGAGGUUGCCGAUGGUUUGGCUACUUUUGCGUCGAUGCUGCAUCAUCCAGAUAAAGCUUAUGUGGACCCUUUGCAGAUUCAGGUCCGCAAUCAACAUGCUUAUUGUAAUAUGGUGGAAAAGGAACUUGACGGCGAGUUGUGGUUUCACGACAUCAAGGUAUAUCUCAGGAUGGGGGUGUAUAUGGUACUUGCCACAAGUGAUCAAAAGAGGAAAAUUCGACGCUUGGAAAGCGGGUUUUUCUUGAGUGGAGGGGUUUUGUACAAAAGGACUUCGGAUCUUUGUUUUCUCAGAUGUGUAGAUGCUAGGCAGGCCACAUCUAUUAUGACUGAAGUACACUUCAAAGUCUGUGGGCCGCAUAUGAGCGGGUAUGUGUUGGCUAAGAAGAUUCUCCGAGCAGGUUAUUAUUGGCUCACUAUGAAGCGGGAUUGCAUCAGUUUCAUGCGCAAAUAUCAUCAAAGCCAAGUGCACGGAGAUUUGAUUCAUUCUCCACCAUUAGAAUUGCAUAUGAUGUCCGCACCAUGGUCUUUUGUUGUGUGGGGUAUGGAUGUCAUUGGGCCGAUCGAGCCGACAUUGUCGAAUGGGCAUAGGUUCAUUUUGGUAGCCAUAGAUUACUUCACCAAGUGGGUUGAGGCAAAAACUUUCAAUUUCGUGACCAAGAAGGUAGUGGUCGAUUUUGUGCAUUUGAAUAUCAUCUGUCGUUUUGGGAUUCCAAAGGUAAUCAUCACGGAUAAUGGUGUUAAUCUCAACAGUCAUCUGAUGAUGGAGAUAUGUCAGCAGUUUAAGAUUACACACCGCAAUUCCACCCAUAUCACCCUAAAGUAAAUGGAACAAUCGAGGAAGCCAACAAGAUUAUAAAGAAGAUACUUCAAAAAAUGGGUGACGGGUCCAUGCAAUGGCAUGAGAAGUUACAUUUCACAUUGUUGGGCUAUCGUACUACUGUUCGUACUUCAGUAGGGGCAACUCCUUAUUUAUUGGUGUAUGGCAAUGAGGUAGUGAUACCCGCGAAAAUUGAAAUCCCAUCCCUUCGGAUCAUCACUGAGGCAGAAAUUGAUGAUGAUGAAUGGGUUAAAUCCUACUUGGAGCUUUUAAGUCUGAUUGAUGAAAAGCGUAUGUCAUGGCCAACUGUACCAACAUAGAAUGGCGAGAGCAUAUAACAAAAAGGUGCGACCAUGAAAGUUCAAAAUGUGGUAGUUAUUGUUGAGUCGUAUCUUGCGUCAUCAGGCUGAAGCAAAAGACAAGUUUGCCCCAAACUGGCAGGGACCAUUUGUUGUAACUAGAGUUUUGUCCAAUGGUGCAUUAUAUUUGACAGACGUGGAAGGUGAUUACUUUAUUUAUUGCACUUGUUUUUAUUUGGCAUAUUUUGAAGUUUGAAAUGACGAAGGCGUUCUAUUUGCUAUCUAAACACUUUGUCCCUUGUCAUCCCUUUUGAGCCUCAUUUAUUAUAUUUCAUUCCCCUCUUUCGGAAUCAGUAGCAAAGAUUAACAAGCUUAAACAGCAGGUAAAGGAAAAAGAAGAAAAAAAGAAGAAGAAGAAAAUCCAAAAAAGGAAAAAGAAGAAAAAAAAGAGAAGGAAAACAAAAAACAAAACAACAAAAAGAAGAGAGAAAAAAAGAAGAGGAAAACAGAAAAGAAAAAGAAAAGAAAAGAAGAGAAAAUGGAAAGAAAAGAAACGAAAGUCACGAAAACAAAGUAUUUUUGCUGAACUACAUUUGACUUGAUUCCAAAAGGAUACAUAGGCAGCCUCUCUCUGAGGUUCAGUCACACCAAAAUAAAAAUUCAAUUGUCCCGAAGAAAGAAACUGGGGCAGAAGAUAUGGUCGUGCAAGAGAUUUGAUUCCAAAAGUUUUAAUUUUGAACCCAUGUUGAAUUGUUUUGAGCCUUUGAUACCCUUUAUUUCUAACCCUAUCCAAAAGACCACAUUACGGUCCAAAGAAAGACCUUCUGAUUAGUCUUCGAGAAGUGCCAAGUCAAACAGGUAAAGGUAAUUCAUGUCAAGGGAAACGCGAAGGUUCAGUUGAAAGGGUUAGAGGUAUUAAGCAACAACAAGUGUAUAAAACACUUGAGUCAUCAGAGGCCAGGGGGUUUUGAAAGUCGGUCAGAAAAUCAAGCGGCUCAGGGCCUGUUCAAGGAAGCCAGCCAAAGCAAAACAAUGCAUUGGAAGGAUCUCCAACAAGAAUGCCGUGAGCUAACCACCAUUUUAAACUGACAAACUUUUUUUUGAUUGAAACAUAGGUAGAAAUUUUUUUGUUCCGGAGGAACUCUCUGAAAAGAAAAAGCAAGCACCAAAACAGGUUUGACCGUAAACUCUCAGGACCCUCUUAGAAAAUGGAGCUUAGUUAAAUUUUAAAACAGUCAUGAAUAGCAUAGUUUAACAUAAAGGAAUAUAAGUUGGUUUCAAAGAUUGCAUGUUUUUAAAAAAAAGAUUGUUAGGAGCUUUCAGGACCCUCCUGGAUAAUGGGACGUAGUUUUAUAGAUUAUUUAGAUAACAAGAUGUGAUGGAAGUCAUAUCUUCAGUAGAUAUAACAUAGGUUAAAACUGUUUUCGUUCUAAACUAGAAGUUGUUAGGACCCUCCUGGAUAAUUGGGAGUAGCUUAAGACCUCUUUGAUAACAACUGUAGUGGGAGUAAUACCUUUAGAAAUUAUAACUUAGGUUUGUAAUUGUUAGGAGUUGUCAGGACCUCCCUGGAUAAUAGGACUUAGCUUUUAUAUUCUUAUAAUAAUUGGCAGAAUGGUUCAAUUUAACACUCAUCCAUGUGCCCAGCCACAAAACUGGGGUAUAAAAUUUUCCUUGUGUUGUCUAUUUUGUCGAAGUCAGGAGCCCGCCUGGAGAACAAAGGCAUAUAUUUCAAGUUUUAGCAGUUAGGAGCCCGCCUGGAGAACAAAGGCAUAUAUUUCAAGUUUUAGCAGUCAAGAGACCGCCUGGAGAACGGAGGCAUGUAUUUCAAGUUUUAGCAGUCAGAAGCCCUCCAGGAGAACAGAGGCAUAUAUUUUUAGUUUUAGCAGUCAGGAGCCCGCCUGGAGAACAGAGGCAUAUAUUUCGAGUUUUAGCAGCCAGGAGCCCGCCUGAAGAAUGGAGGCAUAUAUUUCGAGUUUUAGCAGUCAGGAGCCCGCCUGGAGAACAUAGGCAUAUAUUUCAAGUUUUAGCAGUACGGAGCCCGUCUAGAGAACAGAGGCAUAUUUUUCAAGUUUUAGCAGUCAGGAGCCCGCCUGGAGAAUAGAUGCAUACGUUUCAAGUCUUAGUGGUCAAACAUCACUCGGAGAAAAGGCAGAACAUCGUAGAUCACAGUUCAAGGCAAUAACGAAAGAAUUCCACCGGGAUCACGCAAGUUAACAAGGCAACAAGAACCACAAGAGCAAGUUUGAAGAUAUAUUCAUAGAUCAUAACUUAGUCUAGUUUCUUUUGUUUUUGACACGAAGUAAUAAGGGGGUUCAGUAAGAAGUAGCAACAGCAACAACAAUAGUGAAAUCACAACUUUUUGGUAGUCUCGGCUAUCAGACAUUCCCGAACUACACUGACCUGAUUCCUUUUUAGCCAGGGAUAUGUAGGCAGCCUCAGAAGUAGGGUGCAGUCAAAUUUUUCAAAAAUGCUUCACACAGUAUUCAAACGGGCAAAAAUCAAUCGUAGUUGCUCACUUAUCUUUACAUGAAAACUCUUCGUGUUUCCGAGAAAAGAGGGGUAGCUGUGAGCACAUUAUUUUUUCCCUAUAUGAAUUACCCCCAUAAGUUCAAAAUAAAAUACUUCUUUUAAUAUUUACAAUUUUGUUUUUUUUUGUGGCAUUUUAUGCAUUUUUGUCUGUGCAUUUUAAUAAAUGAAAAUACAAAAAAAAAAACAAAAUACUUGGAAUGUGAAUUUAGGAGUUAACUUUACAUAUUAGGAUUAAUUACCAAUUGUUUCAUAAAAUGGAAAAAUCACAAAAGUAAAUAGUUUAAUUUGCACUUCUAAUUUUAGCUUUGAUUUUUAGUAGUUUUUCUGUUAAUUCGUUUUUAAUUAGUUGUGUUAAUCAUCAUUUUAGGUUCAAUUAGUUCUUCUUAGUUCAAGGAAUUAAUAUUGAUUUUAAUUAAAUUUUGGAAAAAAAGAAAGAAAACGAAAAGAAAAGGAAUUUUGAAUUAAAAUGAAAGAGGAUUUCAUAUUGUUUGGGCUAGCCUUCAAAUUAAACACCCAAGCCCAAAUUUCUCAUUCCAAACCCGGCCUCGACCCAAGCCCACCUCAAGAACCUGACCGGUUCCCCCCUCUCAACUAAAUGACACCGUUUGGCCCCGUGAAUCUCAACCGUCGAGGUUUCUUGAUCCAACGGCUGAGAACACGGGGUCACUUAUUAUUUAACUGUCCAUAUGCCCUCACCCCCCCUCGUAUCAUCUCUCUUACACAAACCCUAGCCCUUUCUACCCUCCAACGUCUACCGCCCUAGAUCGUCGCCGGAAAUUGCCUUACGGUAGCGGUCGAUCUCCAAACGCCCUCAAAUUUACACCAUGGACUCCCACCACCCUCCCUAUUCCAAAUCUAUAACUAGCUUCCUUCGAAUCCCAUCCAGUCUCCUAAAAUAACCCAAACCCUAGGCGCCGCCUCCGCCGCACUCAGCGCCGCCACAUCCAAACCAUCCCAAAUCAGUACCUUGAUACCCCCUUUGCCCCCUCAUGAUAAAUCUUAUACUGUUUCCCCUCAAAUAUCCCUAAAACCUCUCGAAUCUCGAAUUUAGUUUAACCCCAAAAACCCAAAAUUUCCAGUUGAAGUUUUCGUCAAGGUUUUGGUUGCGUUCUGAGGUUAUCUAUGUGUUUUGGUUAAAAGCACAUGAAUAGCCUCAGAUUGAAUCAGGAC
rnacentral:lncRNA from 1 species